rnacentral:rRNA from 1 species
GAUGAACGCUGGCGGCGUGCCUAAUACAUUCAAGUCGAGCGAACGGCCGCGAAGCUCGCUUCUCUGAUGUUAGCGGCGGACGGGUGAGUAACACGUGGUUAACCUCCCUAUUAUACUGGGAUAACUUCGGGAAACCGUAGCUAAUACCGGCUACUAUUUUGCACCGCAUGGUUCAAAAGUGAUAUACGGUCUUGCUGUCACUUAUAAAUGGAUCCGCGCUGCAUUAGCUAGUUGGUAAGGUAACGGCUUACCAAGGCAACGAUGCAUAGCCGACCUGAGAGGGUGAUCGGAAACACUGGAACUGAGACACGGUCCAGACUCCUACGGACGGCAGAACCAGAGAAGCUGCCGUACUGAGCGAAAGUCUGACCCAGCAUCGGCCUGGGAGUGAAGAAAAAGUGCAAGCUGGAAAAAGGAAUUCUAACAGAAGAAAAUAUAAGGAAGUAACGGUGCAUAGAGAGACGGUACAAAGACAGAAAGACACGGAUAACUUCAGG